rnacentral:rRNA from 1 species
UUAAGCGACUAAGCGUACACGGUGGAUGCCCUGGCAGUCAGAGGCGAUGAAGGACGUGCUAAUCUGCGAUAAGCGUCGGUAAGGUGAUAUGAACCGUUAUAACCGGCGAUUUCCGAAUGGGGAAACCCAGUGUGUUUCGACACACUAUCAUUAACUGAAUCCAUAGGUUAAUGAGGCGAACCGGGGGAACUGAAACAUCUAAGUACCCCGAGGAAAAGAAAUCAACCGAGAUUCCCCCAGUAGCGGCGAGCGAACGGGGAGGAGCCCAGAGCCUGAAUCAGUGUGUGUGUUAGUGGAAGCGUCUGGGAAGGCGCGCGAUACAGGGUGACAGCCCCGUACACAAAAAUGCACAUGCUGUGAGCUCGAUGAGUAGGGCGGGACACGUGGUAUCCUGUCUGAAUAUGGGGGGACCAUCCUCCAAGGCUAAAUACUCCUGACUGACCGAUAGUGAACCAGUACCGUGAGGGAAAGGCGAAAAGAACCCCGGCGAGGGGAGUGAAAAAGAACCUGAAACCGUGUACGUACAAGCAGUGGGAGCACGCUUAGGCGUGUGACUGCGUACCUUUUGUAUAAUGGGUCAGCGACUUAUAUUCUGUAGCAAGGUUAACCGAAUAGGGGAGCCGAAGGGAAACCGAGUCUUAACUGGGCGUUAAGUUGCAGGGUAUAGACCCGAAACCCGGUGAUCUAGCCAUGGGCAGGUUGAAGGUUGGGUAACACUAACUGGAGGACCGAACCGACUAAUGUUGAAAAAUUAGCGGAUGACUUGUGGCUGGGGGUGAAAGGCCAAUCAAACCGGGAGAUAGCUGGUUCUCCCCGAAAGCUAUUUAGGUAGCGCCUCGUGAAUUCAUCUCCGGGGGUAGAGCACUGUUUCGGCAAGGGGGUCAUCCCGACUUACCAACCCGAUGCAAACUGCGAAUACCGGAGAAUGUUAUCACGGGAGACACACGGCGGGUGCUAACGUCCGUCGUGAAGAGGGAAACAACCCAGACCGCCAGCUAAGGUCCCAAAGUCAUGGUUAAGUGGGAAACGAUGUGGGAAGGCCCAGACAGCCAGGAUGUUGGCUUAGAAGCAGCCAUCAUUUAAAGAAAGCGUAAUAGCUCACUGGUCGAGUCGGCCUGCGCGGAAGAUGUAACGGGGCUAAACCAUGCACCGAAGCUGCGGCAGCGACGCUUAUGCGUUGUUGGGUAGGGGAGCGUUCUGUAAGCCUGCGAAGGUGUGCUGUGAGGCAUGCUGGAGGUAUCAGAAGUGCGAAUGCUGACAUAAGUAACGAUAAAGCGGGUGAAAAGCCCGCUCGCCGGAAGACCAAGGGUUCCUGUCCAACGUUAAUCGGGGCAGGGUGAGUCGACCCCUAAGGCGAGGCCGAAAGGCGUAGUCGAUGGGAAACAGGUUAAUAUUCCUGUACUUGGUGUUACUGCGAAGGGGGGACGGAGAAGGCUAUGUUGGCCGGGCGACGGUUGUCCCGGUUUAAGCGUGUAGGCUGGUUUUCCAGGCAAAUCCGGAAAAUCAAGGCUGAGGCGUGAUGACGAGGCACUACGGUGCUGAAGCAACAAAUGCCCUGCUUCCAGGAAAAGCCUCUAAGCAUCAGGUAACAUCAAAUCGUACCCCAAACCGACACAGGUGGUCAGGUAGAGAAUACCAAGGCGCUUGAGAGAACUCGGGUGAAGGAACUAGGCAAAAUGGUGCCGUAACUUCGGGAGAAGGCACGCUGAUAUGUAGGUGAAGUCCCUUGCGGAUGGAGCUGAAAUCAGUCGAAGAUACCAGCUGGCUGCAACUGUUUAUUAAAAACACAGCACUGUGCAAACACGAAAGUGGACGUAUACGGUGUGACGCCUGCCCGGUGCCGGAAGGUUAAUUGAUGGGGUUAGCGGUAACGCGAAGCUCUUGAUCGAAGCCCCGGUAAACGGCGGCCGUAACUAUAACGGUCCUAAGGUAGCGAAAUUCCUUGUCGGGUAAGUUCCGACCUGCACGAAUGGCGUAAUGAUGGCCAGGCUGUCUCCACCCGAGACUCAGUGAAAUUGAACUCGCUGUGAAGAUGCAGUGUACCCGCGGCAAGACGGAAAGACCCCGUGAACCUUUACUAUAGCUUGACACUGAACAUUGAGCCUUGAUGUGUAGGAUAGGUGGGAGGCUUUGAAGUGUGGACGCCAGUCUGCAUGGAGCCGACCUUGAAAUACCACCCUUUAAUGUUUGAUGUUCUAACGUGGACCCGUAAUCCGGGUUGCGGACAGUGUCUGGUGGGUAGUUUGACUGGGGCGGUCUCCUCCUAAAGAGUAACGGAGGAGCACGAAGGUUGGCUAAUCCUGGUCGGACAUCAGGAGGUUAGUGCAAUGGCAUAAGCCAGCUUGACUGCGAGCGUGACGGCGCGAGCAGGUGCGAAAGCAGGUCAUAGUGAUCCGGUGGUUCUGAAUGGAAGGGCCAUCGCUCAACGGAUAAAAGGUACUCCGGGGAUAACAGGCUGAUACCGCCCAAGAGUUCAUAUCGACGGCGGUGUUUGGCACCUCGAUGUCGGCUCAUCACAUCCUGGGGCUGAAGUAGGUCCCAAGGGUAUGGCUGUUCGCCAUUUAAAGUGGUACGCGAGCUGGGUUUAGAACGUCGUGAGACAGUUCGGUCCCUAUCUGCCGUGGGCGCUGGAGAACUGAGGGGGGCUGCUCCUAGUACGAGAGGACCGGAGUGGACGCAUCACUGGUGUUCGGGUUGUCAUGCCAAUGGCACUGCCCGGUAGCUAAAUGCGGAAGAGAUAAGUGCUGAAAGCAUCUAAGCACGAAACUUGCCCCGAGAUGAGUUCUCCCUGACUCCUUGAGAGUCCUGAAGGAACGUUGAAGACGACGACGUUGAUAGGCCGGGUGUGUAAGCGCAGCGAUGCGUUGAGCUAACCGGUACUAAUGAACCGUGAGGCUUAACCUU